AUGAUACGAUCAUGAGUUCCCUAAACAUGUGGAAGGAAACUUAUAAAAAAAUGCAUAAAAAAAUAUUUGGAUGAAGAUGCUUGAGCCCAACUUGAAGCUCAAUUCAUAUGAUAAGAAGCAUCUUUGGGCUGAAUUGUGGUCUAAUAAUAUUGGACUAAAUAAAAAAACAAUUAAGUCCAAUUUUCUUUAUUUUUAUUGUAAUUUUCGUUUUUGAUAUUAGGAGAGUUUUUAGAUGACUUUUAGUUGCUCCCUAGGCUCUCUAGAUGCUUCCUAGUGGUGCACUAAGUCAUUAUAGUGGCUUGUGGGAAUUUAUAAGCAUGUUAGUGGAAAUUUUCUAAGUCCUAUGAUGAAUG
rnacentral:lncRNA from 1 species